rnacentral:rRNA from 1 species
UACGGGGGGCGCAAGCGUUGUUCGGAUUUACUGGGCGUAAAGGGCGCGUAGGCGGCCAGCACAAGUCAGUUGUGAAAUCCCCGGGCUCAACCUGGGAAUGGCAAUGGAUACUGGCUCGCUAGAGUGUGAUAGAGGAUGGUGGAAUUCCCGGUGUAGCGGUGAAAUGCGUAGAGAUCGGGAGGAACAUCAGUGGCGAAGGCGGCCAUCUGGAUCAACACUGACGCUGAGGCACGAAAGCGUGGGGAGCAAACAGG